CAGGAGUACUACAGUGGAGUAGACACCAAGGAAUCGUAGUUGGCUACAGAAGUUGGGCUGGUAUUAACGCGCGGACAUAUAUAAAUUGGAUGCCGGCGGCUAAGUUUGGCUGAUAAUAUCUCCCAACUGUCAGCUCGUCCCUGGAGACUGUGCAUAUUCAACUCCAUGCAGAUUUAUUGGGGGGAGACAUGGUCUCGUAGACUCGUAGCUAGCUAGCUCGCUAUAGCACGUGCACCUCCUGUGGGAAGAGAGAGAUAUAUAUACACACACACAUACAUACACACACACACAGAGACGCCGGCCCUCUUCGUUUAGUGAGAAAUAUAGGUGUGAACUUGUUUGUUUCAUUUAUAGGGUUGGUGUUAUGUUGUCACCUACUAGAAUCUCAAUAUCUCAACUGUGGUCAUGGGCAAGGAUGUGAUUAAUUAUACUUCAAAUUAAGGCUCCUAUGAUUUAAAAUAUUUUUUGUAGGAAUUGUAGAGGUUUGGAAUUCUCAGAUUUUUUUUCCUACGUGGGUCGUUUGAUUUGUAGAAUGGAAUUCUAGAGAACCUUUUUUUUUUCCUAAGGAUUCAUUUGCAUUGCAUUGCAUUUCGUAAAAAAAAACUUUCCAUCCACUCCAGUCUUUUGAAAAGAAUUCUCUGUUUUUCAGUGGUUUAAUCAAACAAACUUUGAUGCAAACAAAUCCUAUAGGGAUCAAGUGGACAUGUUAUCGCAAUCCUACAUUUUUUUAUAUUUUAUGUUUUCUCAAUUGUGUGAAUCAAGGAGACACUAGGCACAUGGUUUUUGAUUCAUUAUCGAGACUUGAGACUAGGAAUCGUGUGAACCAAAGAGACUACCACCAGUUAUGACUCACGUAGAUAUGGUUAAUCAGUGUUAAUGCUGUCACAUACGAGUAUCUCGAUAUCUAAUCUAUCGACAAUUCGACAUGGACAAAGAUGUGGUAAGCCCUCUAUGAAUCAAAGGAUUUUCAUACGAAAUUUGGUGGGUUGGAAUCCUUAGAAUUUUUUUCCUAUGUA
rnacentral:lncRNA from 1 species